rnacentral:lncRNA from 1 species
ACAGAAAUGUUUAAUUUAACUUUUGUGAGGGUAAACUAAGAAUCGAAUAAAAUACGUGAACUUGAACAGAGAGAGAGACAUGAAGUAACAUUACACAAUGUAAAUUAACAAAAUGACCAAAAGCAAAGAAGAUGUAAAUAUACACUAUAAGGAAAUUAGAGGAAAAAUUUGUUUCAGAUCAACCCAUUGAGGAUGCAUCAGACUUCACCGGGUACUUCUCCAAAAGCGGCUUCAGUUCGUCCAUUGCAGAAAUCUUAUGACGAGUCCCAUCUGAAGUUCUGAUGACAAUUACACCGUCCUGCGACCAACAUGACCGCAUUCCAAAGUGCUGCCUGGCCUUGGUGAAGACGGACUGCCUAUUCUUCGUCAAGAACUCCUUCACUGAGAUCUUUGUCCCCUUCAAGCCGGUCUUCGCCCUCCAAAUAGCUGACUUAACAUCCAGACCGGAGAACCUCACAAGAAUUGGCCUUGGGUGAUCUUUACUGGGGCUGCCAAGCCGAUGUGCCACUUUUAUAUUAGUAACUGCGAUGUCUUUGAGAGCCAAUUUGCCAUUGACUAUGCUCAGUAUUGUGGCAGUGCAGUCCUCAGUGUUAGCUUCAGGAACUCCUUGGAAAAUUAGGGCCUUCUUCCGAUGCCUCAUCUCCAGGCCAUCAAUAUGCAGAAGACACUCCGCAAUUUGUUUCCUAAGCAAUCCAAGGACGCUGUAGAUGAGCUCUCUAAAUGCCCGGAACUCCUCAGCAAUCUUAGCCACAGUGUCUUUAGCGGGUCCUGCAGCUUGAAUUUGUGCACCAAGUUCAUCCAUCUUCCUGGUGAAGUUCUCCUCAAGACUCUUUUGGAUUGAUAGGAUCUCCGAAAGCUGUGACAUUCUUGUAUGCUCGAACAAUGUGCUUUGUGUUAAAUUAAUUUAGUGAGAUUUGGUGAUGUGGCGGGUGGUGUAUAAAUAUGUGCUCAAUUAUAACAUUUAAUACUGUAAGUAUUAGCAAACAAAUAUGUAAUAAUUUGUCAAAAAACUGUUUAAAAUACUAUUAAAUACAAAAUUUUAAGGCUCAGAGAAACUGAGAAA